rfam:Glycine soja cultivar W05 scaffold226_49, whole genome shotgun sequence.
AUGUAAUAAUGUAGCCAAGGAUGACUUGCCGGGAAGUUUCUUUUCGCAUUGUGAAUCAUGGUUUUAAAUUGUGAUCGCGGUUUCAUUGUGAUAAAUUAUGGACAAAUGUGGCCAAUGUACUGAUUUUUGAUCAGGGUAACCCCAAAAAUCUUGAUGUUGUGGUUGAAAUCAUGGUUGCGGAUUUUUUUUAAAACCUUGAUUGAAAAGACCUAAUGAUCAUGUUGUUAUGUUCAAAUGCACAUUAUGCUGCCUAAGAAGUCAAGUGUAACUAGUUGUCCGGCAAGUCGUCUCUGGCUACAUAAAGGUCUCC